UCUUGCUCCACGCCCCACGCCCCACGCCCCCACUACUCAACAUCUCAACCCUAACCCCCAAUUCGUUCUCUCUCUCCCCUCUGAUAACUGCAGAAAGAAUUAUUUUUUGUCAUCUAAAUCUUGCAACCCUUUGCAAUCAUUUUCAUAGCUUUCUUUGCUCGAAGCAUGGUCUACUUCAUAUAAGGAACAAAAAAUUGGUGUCUUGAUAACCUGGUAAAGAAAGUGAGACAAGCUUUUGAAGGAAGUGAACUGGUUAAGGUUGACUGUCGAGGAUUAGGAGCCAGUGACAACGAGAAGAUUGGGGCAAAACUAAUGGUACUCGAAAAUAAUAAUAAAAGUCCAACAGAUCAAGAACAAGAGGACACUACUUGAGGCUUCAAAUUGACUACCAUCAUUGUUUUGCUAGAUCUUAGUAUUACUUAGUUUUGUAAACAUUUUUAGUGUGUUUUAAUUUUGUGGUAUUUUUAGUGACAUAUUAGUUAUGAAGUAUUAUUGAUGAACGUGUGUAGGAAUUUUAAUUGUGCGAACUACGUUUAUGAUUUAUGAUUACAUAUACAUUGUUCGAAGUAUUUUUAUGUAAUUCUUCAAGUUUCAUUGUUGACUUUA